rnacentral:rRNA from 1 species
UACGUAGGGGGCAAGCGUUAUCCGGAUUUACUGGGUGUAAAGGGAGCGUAGACGGCGAAGCAAGUCUGAAGUGAAAACCCAGGGCUCAACCCUGGGAGUGCUUUGGAAACUGUUUUGCUAGAGUGUCGGAGAGGUAAGUGGAAUUCCUAGUGUAGCGGUGAAAUGCGUAGAUAUUAGGAGGAACACCAGUGGCGAAGGCGGCUUACUGGACGAUAACUGACGUUGAGGCUCGAAAGCGUGGGGAGCAAACAGG